rnacentral:rRNA from 1 species
AAAGGGACGGGUCCGGCCGGAAAAAAAAAAUACGCCCAUUAAGGCAGUCCGCUGCCGUUUUGGACCACCGUAUUUUAGACCUCGGUUGGGCAUUAAAUAGGUCCCCCCCCACAGGGCACUCCCCCCGCCCUAUGUCGCCUACUCUUGAGUAGAGUAGGGGGCACAGACAGGGGCGGCAGUGCGGCCUAGUGUUGAUCCAGUCCCGUCUCGUUGUGCUGAGGUA